GCAACCAGGGUCUUCUGGCUCCACCUCCCUCCUCCAGCUUCCACUUCAUGUCCCCGGACAUCCCUGCUCUAGACAUUCUGGACCCAUGGAUAUUUCAGAGUUUCUCAGAGAUAACACCACAGCCCACAGUCAGACAGUAAAGGGUGAAGUUUAUGGCUGUUACUCAUUUACCUACUGGUACUAGAAGAUCUGGAAUUUCACUUCAAUGAUUUUGAUCCAGGAUGCUGGGCUGCCUCCUGAUUUGGUACAUCAUCCAACCAAUCUUGCUAGAAGCAGAAAGUAUCUUCUUUUAAUGAAUGACUAGUUCCUAACAUGUUAUCCUGCAUCACUCCAGCAAAGACAAAGGAGCUAUUCUACUUUGCAACAGCCAAGGAUAUCUCCCAGAACUUUUAAAUAUACUGCUCUGCAUUCCACAGCUUAUUCAGCUGCAUAAGGAAGGUUAAUUAAAACGGAAA